GCGUUAACGAACGAGACCUCGGCCUACUAAAUAGUCUGGCUCACCCUUCGGGGUGCGGUUAGGACUUCUUAGAGGGACUAUCGGUGGGUAGCCGAUGGAAGUUCGAGGCAAUAACAGGUCUGUGAUGCCCUUAGAUGUUCUGGGCCGCACGCGCGCUACACUGACGCAUUCAUCAAGCUUACAACCUUGGCCGAUAGGUCUGGGUAAUCUUGCAAAGUGCGUCGUGCUGGGGAUAGAUUAUUGUAAUUUUUAAUCUUCAACGAGGAAUUCCUAGUAAACGCAAGUCAUCAGCUUGCAUUGAUUAUGUCCCUGCCCUUUGUACACACCGCCCGUCGCUAAUACCGAUUGAAUGGUUU
rnacentral:rRNA from 1 species